GACGAACGCUGGCGGCGUGCCUAAUACAUGCAAGUUGAGCGCUGAAGGUUGGUACUUGUACCAACUGGAUGAGCAGCGAACGGGUGAGUAACGCGUGGGGAAUCUGCCUUUGAGCGGGGGACAACAUUUGGAAACGAAUGCUAAUACCGCAUAAAAACUUUAAACACAAGUUUUAAGUUUGAAAGAUGCAAUUGCAUCACUCAAAGAUGAUCCCGCGUUGUAUUAGCUAGUUGGUGAGGUAAAGGCUCACCAAGGCGAUGAUACAUAGCCGACCUGAGAGGGUGAUCGGCCACAUUGGGACUGAGACACGGCCCAAACUCCUACGGGAGGCAGCAGCAGGGAAUCUUCGGCAAUGGACGAGAGUCUGACCGAGCAACGCCGCGUGAGUGAAGAAGGUUUUCGGAUCGUAAAACUCUGUUGGUAGAGAAGAACGUUGGUGAGAGUGGAAAGCUCAUCAAGUGACGGUAACUACCCAGAAAGGGACGGCUAACUACGUG
rnacentral:rRNA from 1 species